UACAGAGGGGGCAAGCGUUGUUCGGAAUUACUGGGCGUAAAGGGCGCGUAGGCGGCCUGCUAAGUCGAACGUGAAAUCCCUGGGCUCAACCCAGGAACUGCGUCCGAUACUGGUUGGCUUGAAUCCGGGAGAGGGAAGCGGAAUUCCGGGUGUAGCGGUGAAAUGCGUAGAUAUCCGGAGGAACACCGGUGGCGAAGGCGGCUUCCUGGACCGACACUGACGCUGAGGCGCGAAAGCUAGGGGAGCAAACGGG
rnacentral:rRNA from 1 species